GAGCACACAGAAAUGCUGUUUACCUUCCCACUGCAGUGGUACCUAUUUAUCUACUUGCACUGGUAUACUUUUGAACUGCUAGGUUGGCAGGAGCUGGGACAGAGCAAUAGGAGCUCACCCCGUUGCACGGAUUUGAACUGCCAACCUUCUGAUCGGCAAGCCCAAAAGACUCAGUGAUUUAGAUCCCAGUGACACCCAUUCAUGGUCAGAUGGUCCAAGGGUUAAGGAGACCAGUGAUCAUGGGGUCAAGAGUCAAGACAAGCAGGAAGCAGCAAGGUAGGACCAGGAACUACAAGCAUUGUUAAAAGCAUCUGGCUGCUGCUAGAAGCUCUGCUUAAGAAGACUGAAGACAACUGGUUCUCAUCAGUGCCUUUUCCUCUGAAUCCUUGAAGGUUGAUCAGCUGCAGGUGGAGUCACUUCUUCCCCUUCAGGCUGAUGUUCAUCAGGCAAAGCUGACUUUUGGCGCAUGACAGUAGGGUUGGUAGGCAAAAUUCUGCA